rnacentral:rRNA from 1 species
GGAUGCGAUCAUACCAGCACUAAAGCACCGGAUCCCAUCAGAACUCCGAAGUUGAGCGUGCUUGGGCGAGAGUAGUACUAGGAUGGGUGACCUCCUGGGAAGUCCUCGUGUUGCAUNNN